UCAAGUGACUAAGUGCACAUGGUGGAUGCCUUGGCGAUCACAGGCGAAGAAGGACGUAAUAGCUUGCGAAAAGCUGCGGGGAGUUGGCAAAUGAGCAUUGAUCCGCAGAUAUCCGAAUGGGGAAACCCACCUCUUUUUAGGAGGUAUCCUUAUCUGAAUACAUAGGGUGAGGAGGCGAACCGAGUGAACUGAAACAUCUAAGUAACUCGAGGAGAAGAAAUCAACCGAGAUUCUGAAAGUAGUGGCGAACGAAAUUGGAUGAGCCGCAACGAGAUAGUAAUUGUAGUAGUCGAACUUACUGGGAAGUGAGACCGUAGAGGGUGAUAGUCCUGUAGACGAAACUAUAGUUAUGGUACUAGGCGUUGCAACAAGUAGGGCGGGACACGUGUAAUCCUGUUCGAAGAUGGGGGGACCAUCCUCCAAGGCUAAAUACUCGUGAUCGACCGAUAGUGAACCAGUACCGUGAGGGAAAGGCGAAAAGAACCCCGGGAGGGGAGUGAAAUAGAACCUGAAACCGUGUGCAUACAAACAGUCGGAGCCCUAGGGUGACGGCGUACCUUUUGUAUAAUGGGUCAGCGACUUACAUUCAGUGGCAAGCUUAACCGGAUAGGGUAGGCGUAGCGAAAGCGAGUCCGAAUAGGGCGUUUAUAGUCGCUGGGUGUAGACCCGAAACCAGAUGAUCUAUCCAUGGCCAGGUUGAAGGUGCCGUAACAGGUACUGGAGGACCCAACCCACUAAUGUUGAAAAAUUAGGGGAUGAGCUGUGGAUAGGGGUGAAAGGCUAAACAAAUCUGGAAAUAGCUGGUUCUCUCCGAAAACUAUUUAGGUAGUGCCUCAUGAAUAACUGUUGGGGGUAGAGCACUGUUAUGGCUAGGGGGUCAUGGCGACUUACCAAACCAUGGCAAACUCCGAAUACUGACAAGUUCGAUCAUGGGAGACAGAGCACUGGGUGCUAACGUCCAGACUCAAGAGGGAAACAACCCAGACCGCCAGCUAAGGUCCCUAAAAUUGGCUAAGUGGGAAACGAAGUGGGAAGGCAUAGACAGUCAGGAGGUUGGCUUAGAAGCAGCCACCCUUUAAAGAAAGCGUAAUAGCUCACUGAUCGAGUCGUCCUGCGCGGAAGAUGUAACGGGGCUAAGCCAGUUACCGAAGCUGCGGAUGCAUCCGCUCUUUUAAUGUGUUUAAUCGAGAUACUUCAUUGUGAGAGUUUUGAAUGCAAAUUCAAAACUCUCACUAACGUACUCCAAAAGGCUUGGACAGGAAAGAGUCCAAAAGGCUUGGACAGGAAAGAGUCCAAAAGGCUUGGACAGAUUUGUGUCCAAAAGGCUUGGAUAGAUUUGUGUCCAAAAGGCUUGGACAGAGAGGGUCCAAAAGGCUUGGACAGGAAAGAGUCCAAAAGGCUUGGACAGGAAAGAGUCCAAAAGGCUUGGACAGAGAGGGUCCAAAGUACUUAAGGAGGUUUGAAUCUUAAACUGUAAGUUUAAGAUUUAUGGAUAAUCGAACGAAGUGAGAUUAGACAUAUUAAGAGAGCGGAUGCGUGGUAGGAGAGCGUUCUGUAAGCCAGAGAAGGUGAAUCGAGAGGUUUGCUGGAGGUAUCAGAAGUGCGAAUGCUGACAUGAGUAGCGAUAAAGGGAGUGAAAAGCUCCCUCGCCGUAAGUCCAAGGAUUCCUGCGCAACGUUCAUCGGCGCAGGGUUAGUCGGCCCCUAAGGUGAGGCAGAGAUGCGUAGCUGAUGGGAAGUGGGUUAAUAUUCCUACACCGGCUUGUGAUGUGAAGGGGGGACGGAUUGCGGAAUGUGUACGGGCUGUUGGAUAUGCUCGGUAUUGUAGCCAAGAAGUUGAUUAGGCAAAUCCGGUCAAAGGAUUCAAGGCUAUGAUUCGCAGAAGACUUAAGGUCUUUGAAGUCACAGGAAGUGGUUCCAGGAAAAGCCUCUAAGCGUUAAAUUACAAGUUGACCGUACCGCAAACCGACACAGGUGGACGGGAUGAAUAUUCCAAGGCGCUUGAGAGAACUCAGGAGAAGGAACUCGGCAAAUUGAUACCGUAACUUCGGGAGAAGGUAUGCCUUUGUAUGGUGAGUAGCCAGAAGAGGCCGCAGAGAAUAGGUGGCUGCGACUGUUUAUUAAAAACAUAGCACUCUGCAAACACGAAAGUGGAAGUAUAGGGUGUGACGCCUGCCCGGUGCUGGAAGGUUAAUUGAUGUGGUGAGAGCUAUUGAUCGAAGCCCCAGUAAACGGCGGCCGUAACUAUAACGGUCCUAAGGUAGCGAAAUUCCUUGUCGGGUAAGUUCCGACCUGCACGAAUGGCGUAACGAUGGCCACACUGUCUCCUCCUGAGACUCAGCGAAGUUGAAGUGUUUGUGAUGAUGCAAUCUCCCCGCGGCUAGACGGAAAGACCCCAUGAACCUUUACUGUAGCUUUACAUUGGAUCGUGAACCGGCCUGUGUAGGAUAGGUGGGAGGCGAAGAAGGAGGUACGCUAGUACUUUUGGAGCCGUCCUUGAAAUACCACCCUGGUUUGUUUGUGGUUCUAACCUUGGCCCAUGAUCUGGGUUGGGGACAGUGUAUGGUGGGCAGUUUGACUGGGGCGGUCUCCUCCCAAAGUGUAACGGAGGAGUUCGAAGGUACGCUAGGUACGGUCGGAAAUCGUGCUGAUAGUGCAUUGGCAAAAGCGUGCUUGACUGUGAGACAGACAAGUCGAACAGGUGCGAAAGCAGGACAAAGUGAUCCGGUGGUUCUGAAUGGAAGGGCCAUCGCUCAACGGAUAAAAGGUACUCUGGGGAUAACAGGCUGAUACCGCCCAAGAGUUCAUAUCGACGGCGGUGUUUGGCACCUCGAUGUCGGCUCAUCUCAUCCUGGGGCUGUAGCCGGUCCCAAGGGUAUGGCUGUUCGCCAUUUAAAGAGGUACGUGAGCUGGGUUUAAAACGUCGUGAGACAGUUUGGUCCCUAUCUGCCGUGGGCGUUGGAUACUUGACGGAGGCUGCUCCUAGUACGAGAGGACCGGAGUGGACGUACCGCUGGUGUAUCGGUUGUCAUGCCAAUGGCAUUGCCGAGUAGCUACGUACGGAAGAGAUAACCGCUGAAGGCAUCUAAGCGGGAAACUCGUCUGAAGAUAAGGUAUCCCUGAGCGUAAAGCUCCUUUUAAGGGUCGUUCGAGACUAGAACGUUGAUAGGCUGGGUGUGAAAGUGCAGUAAUGCAUGUAGCUAACCAGUACUAAUUGCCCGAGAGGCUUGAUCCU
rnacentral:rRNA from 1 species